rnacentral:rRNA from 1 species
AGUCGAGCGGAGAUGAGGUGCUUGCACCUUAUCUUACGGCGGACGGGUGAGUAAUGCUUAGGAAUCUGCCUAUUAGUGGGGGACAACAUUCCGAAAGGAAUGCUAAUACCGCAUACGUCCUACGGGAGAAAGCAGGGGAUCUUCGGACCUUGCGCUAAUAGAUGAGCCUAAGUCGGAUUAGCUAGUUGGUGGGGUAAAGGCCUACCAAGGCGACGAUCUGUAGCGGGUCUGAGAGGAUGAUCCGCCACACUGGGACUGAGACACGGCCCAGACUCCUACGGGAGGCAGCAGUGGGGAAUAUUGGACAAUGGGGGGAACCCUGAUCCAGCCAUGCCGCGUGUGUGAAGAAGGCCUUAUGGUUGUAAAGCACUUUAAGCGAGGAGGAGGCUACUGAGACUAAUACUCUUGGAUAGUGGACGUUACUCGCAGAAUAAGCACCGGCUAACUCUGUGCCAGCAGCCGCGGUAAUACAGAGGGUGCGAGCGUUAAUCGGAUUUACUGGGCGUAAAGCGUGCGUAGGCGGCUUUUUAAGUCGGAUGUGAAAUCCCCGAGCUUAACUUGGGAAUUGCAUUCGAUACUGAGAAGCUAGAGUAUGGGAGAGGAUGGUAGAAUUCCAGGUGUAGCGGUGAAAUGCGUAGAGAUCUGGAGGAAUACCGAUGGCGAACGCAGCCAUCUGGCCUAAUACUGACGCUGAGGUACGAAAGCAUGGGGAGCAAACAGGGAUUAGAUACCCUGGUAGUCCAUGCCGUAAACGAUGUCUACUAGCCGUUGGGGCCUUGAGGCUUUAGUGGCGCAGCUAACGCGAUAGUAGACCGCCUGGGG